rnacentral:tRNA from 4 species
AUGGAAGCUGGAUAGAGCAACGGCCUUCUAAGCCGUCGGUCGGGAGUUCGAAUCUCUCCUAGA